rnacentral:rRNA from 1 species
UACGGGGGGAGCAAGCGUUGUUCGGAUUUACUGGGCGUAAAGGGCGCGUAGGCGGCCCUCCUAGUCGCGUGUGAAAGCCCCGGGCUCAACCUGGGAAUUGCGCGCGAAACGGGGGGGCUUGAGUUCGGGAGAGGAGCGUGGAAUUCCCAGUGUAGAGGUGAAAUGCGUAGAUAUUGGGAGGAACACCAGUGGCGAAGGCGGCUCACUGGACCGGAACUGACGCUGAGGCGCGAAAGCGUGGGGAGCAAACAGG